UACGGGGGGUGCGAGCGUUGUCCGGAUUCACUGGGCGUAAAGGGCGCGUAGGCGGCCCGGUCAGUCGGUCCUUUAAGAGCGGGGCUCACCCCCGUGGGGGGACCGGGACGGCCGGGCUGGGGCGCGGCAGAGGGGGACGGAAUGCCGGGUGUAGUGGUGAAAUGCGUAGAUAUCGGGAGGAACACCAGUGGCGUAAGCGAUUACCUGGGCUAGACCUGACGCUGAGGGACGAAGGCGUGGGAAGCAAACGGG
rnacentral:rRNA from 1 species